UACGUAGGGGGCAAGCGUUGUCCGGAUUUAUUGGGCGUAAAGAGCGUGUAGGCGGCCAUUCAGGUCAGCUGUGAAAACUCGAGGCUCAACCUCGAGACGUCGGUUGAAACCGUUUGGCUAGAGUCCGGAAGAGGAGAGUGGAAUUCCCGGUGUAGCGGUGAAAUGCGCAGAUAUCGGGAAGAACACCCGUGGCGAAGGCGGCUCUCUGGGACGGUACUG
rnacentral:rRNA from 1 species